rnacentral:lncRNA from 1 species
UUCAAAAUAUGUGCUUCGCUAAACUGGUUGAGGACACACUGGAGCGUUUCCUGUGAGGGCUUUUUAAGGCAUGUAAGAGUCUUGCUCUCUUCAAAAAGUGCACUCAGCUUGUUUACACCCUGGGUGAUAAGAAUAAGAAGCUCCGGAUGUGGUGUCAAGAAGUUCAGUGUUGCCUCUGUCAUCUGGAUCCUGGGUGACUGAGAGACUGAAGGGAUUUUUAGAGAGAUUGACUCUGAGGAAUGUUCCCAUGAAUCCUGUCUACCCAGGCUGCAACUUGAAUGCCAGAACACAUUGUUUGAAUGCAUAAUUCAAGGUCAAUGAGAAGGUGUUCCAUUGUAUGAUUUAGUCAUG